rnacentral:rRNA from 1 species
GACGAACGCUGGCGGCGUGCCUAAUACAUGCAAGUAGAACGCUGAAGGAGGAGCUUGCUUCUCUGGAUGAGUUGCGAACGGGUGAGUAACGCGUAGGUAACCUGCCUGGUAGCGGGGGAUAACUAUUGGAAACGAUAGCUAAUACCGCAUAAGAGUAGAUGUCGCAUGACAUUUGCUUAAAAGGUGCAAUUGCAUCACUACCAGAUGGACCUGCGUUGUAUUAGCUAGUUGGUGAGGUAACGGCUCACCAAGGCAACGAUACAUAGCCGACCUGAGAGGGUGCUCGGCCACGCUGGGACUGAGACACGGCCCAGACUCCUACGGGAGGCAGCAGUAGGGAAUCUUCGGCGAUGGCCGGAAGUCUGACCGAGCAACGCCGCGUGAGUGAAGAAGGUUUUCGGAUCGUAAAGCUCUGUUGUAAGAGAAGAACGAGUGUGAGAGUGGAAAGUUCACACUGUGACGGUAUCUUACCAGAAAGGGACGGCUAACUACGUG